rnacentral:rRNA from 1 species
UACGUAGGGUGCGAGCGUUGUCCGGAAUUAUUGGGCGUAAAGGGCGCGUAGGCGGUGCGGUAAGUCUGCGGUGAAAUCUCCAGGCUCAACUUGGAGGGGUCGUCGAAGACUGGCGGACUAGGGUCUGGCAGAGGCAGGUAGAAUUCCCGGUGGAGCGGUGAAAUGCGUAGAGAUCGGGAGGAAUACCAGUGGCGAAGGCGGCCUGCUGGGCCACGACCGACACUGAGGUGCGAAAGCGUGGGGAGCGAACCGG